rnacentral:misc_RNA from 1 species
GUGACUCCUCCAAAUAAAGCCAUAACUAUCAUAUAUGCACAAUUUAAAUAAUAUUCAACCUCCAAUAUGAUAUUGUCAUGGAUGUCCAAUAGAAAUUGAGAAAAUAUAAGUAUUCUACGUCUCAUUAUCCAAAUCCAAUACAAAGAUAAGACCAAAUUACUUGCAAACAUUGACUGCAAUCCUUAUCCUUGCCAAGUGCCAACAGCUUCUCUUGCAUAUACACAUGUCUCUGUCAUGGAGUUCUGUUUCAUUCUUUGCUCCGAGCUAUUGCUGCGAAGGAGAAAUCAACAUAACAGAACUGUCCAAUGCCAUUGCUGCGAAGGCUGCAGAGAAGGAGGUAAGGGCUAAAACUAAUGAAAAGAAAUAGGACGCCGUCGUUGCUGUGGCCACAAACCUGUGAAAUCUGUAUCACCACGUGAAUUGAUAAACGUGCAGGACCUUCUCACAAAGAAGGCUCUUAAGUCCAAGAAAAAGAGAGAUGUCAAUUACCCGUCUUCGGAGAAGGACAAGCUUAAGAAGAUAGAAAGCAAGAGAAAAUUAAUGUUGAAAAUUCAAACGAAGUUGCUAUGCUUCUUCCUAUGCUGGGUUUUGGUCUUGAUAAUCUUAGGCAAAUUGUUAAGCGAUGACGAGGGUCCUUGGGGAAAUUGUUCACCGAUGUAUGUAUAAGAGAUUUUUUUAUGAUUAUUAAUUAUGAUGAAUUUUAUAUAAAUCUCAUCAUAAUUAAUAAUAAAAAAUCUAUAUAAUUAUGUUUUAAAAUUUUUCCAGAAUGUGGUUCAAUAUUAUUUCCUUAGCAUAAUUUUAUUGGUGAUUUUGUUAGUUUAAUUUUUAGUUAAGAACGAUUGGUUAUUAUUUUGUUUAAUUUUAGUAAUAAUUUAAAUAUUUG